rnacentral:rRNA from 1 species
UACGAAGGGGGCUAGCGUUGUUCGGAAUUACUGGGCGUAAAGCGUGCGCAGGCGGCUGCUCAAGUCGGGGGUGAAAGCCCAGAGCUCAACUCUGGAAUUGCCUUUGAGACUGAGUGGCUUGAGUACGGGAGAGGUGAGUGGAAUUCCCAGUGUAGAGGUGAAAUUCGUAGAUAUUGGGAAGAACACCGGUGGCGAAGGCGGCUCACUGGCCCGUAACUGACGCUCAUGCACGACAGCGUGGGGAUCAAACAGG